UACGUAGGGGGCUAGCGUUGUCCGGAAUCAUUGGGCGUAAAGAGCGUGUAGGCGGCUUGGUAAGUCCGCUGUGAAAGUCCAGGGCUCAACCCUGGAAUGCCAGUGGAUACUGUCAAGCUAGAGUCCGGAAGAGGCGAGUGGAAUUCCUGGUGUAGCGGUGAAAUGCGCAGAUAUCAGGAGGAACACCAAUGGCGAAGGCAGCUCGCUGGGACGGUACUGACGCUGAGACGCGAAAAGCGUGGGGGAGCAAACAGG
rnacentral:rRNA from 1 species